ACGGGUGAGUAACGCGUAAGACCUGCCCUUGGGAGGGGACAACAGCUGGAAACGGUUGCUAAUACCCCAUAAGCUGAGGAGCGAAAGGAGGAAUCCACCUAAGGAGGGGCUUGCGUCUGAUUAGCUAGUUGGUGAGGCAAUGGCUUACCAAGGCGACGAUCAGUAACUGGUCUGAGAGGAUGAUCAGCCACACUGGGACUGAGACACGGCCCAG
rnacentral:rRNA from 1 species